rnacentral:lncRNA from 1 species
ACUUUACAGGCAGUUGAAGUGAUUCCUUUGGAGAAUUCCGGAAGAAGCAAGUUUCUGUCUCAAAGUCAAUUUCUUCACUUACUAUAGCUUCAGAUUUUAGAAGUCAAAAUCAAAGAGUUGUCAAGUUUGGUUUCUUCUGAGGCCACUGUUACUGUCUUGUCACCUCAGUGUGUUUUCACCUGAUCUGUCUUCUAUGCAUGUGCAUCCUGGUAUGUCUAAAUUUCUUUUAAGAGUGACAGAUUAGAUCAGGGUCUUCCUACAUAACCUCAUUUAGCCUUCAUUGCCUUGGUACUAUGUAAAUACUGUUGUAUUCUGAAGUAGUGGGGCUGGUACUGGAUGUGUGAGUUUUGGGGUGUUGUAUGUCUUCCUGUGAAAACAUGAAGAAACAUGUGUUCACUCCAGAUAGAUCACCAGUGAUAGAUCAAAAUAGCUAUUAUAGUUCAGCAUGCUGCACUAAUGAGUUUUGGGGCUUACUUACAGAGCAUGGUUGAGUGCUUACUUAGAGGAACAUGAAUAACUCAGAGGUAGAGGUAUCACUGAAAAGGCCCUUGCAGCAUGGGUGAUGGUUUAUAAAGUCUGUUCUUGAAGCUCCUUGUACAACCUACUAAUAGCUCAGCUACUUGGAGAGUAUCCUGUCCCAAGCUUGCUACUGCUUAUUUUACCUUGGGGGAGGAGCCUUGUCAAUCAUGUGAGUUUCAGGCAAUUUCUGAGACUUCUGAGUUGUUUAUUUGUUGACCCUCAUAAGCUUCAUUUACUUUCUGAGUCUUAAGAAACCUCCCUUCAGGAUAGAAUAUUUUGAUUUGGAAGAAAUUACUAUAUAACUCAGGGGAUACAAUUAUCCCCACAACAAGCUCAAAUCUGUCUGUCUAUCAUUUUACAUCAAAAGCUAAUGAUUUCCACAUUAGGGUCAGGUUGUUUUAGUUGCAAAUACUCUGCUCUUUAGAUGUUAGAGAGGUCUUCAAUUGAACAGUCUGGGUCUAGCUUAUGGUCCUCUGCAGGUCUUUUUUAAAAAAAUUAUGUAUACAGUGUUCUGUCUGUAUGUAUGCCUGUAGACCAAAAGAGGGUGCCAGAUCUCAUUACACAUGGUUGUGAGCUACCAUGUGGUUGCUGAGAAUUGAACUCAGGACCUCUGGAACCUCUGCAGGUC